rnacentral:rRNA from 1 species
GAUGAACGCUGGCGGCGUGCUUAACACAUGCAAGUCGAACGGGAGACCUUUUAUUGAAGCUUCGGCAGAUUUAAAUUGUUUCUAGUGGCGGACGGGUGAGUAACGCGUGGGUAACCUGCCUUAUACAGGGGGAUAACAGUCAGAAAUGACUGCUAAUACCGCAUAAGCGCACAGAGCUGCAUGGCUCGGUGUGAAAAACUCCGGUGGUAUAAGAUGGACCCGCGUUGGAUUAGCUAGUUGGUGAGGUAACGGCCCACCAAGGCGACGAUCCAUAGCCAGCCUGAGAGGGUGAACGGCCACAUUGGGACUGAGACACGGCCCAGACUCCUACGGGAGGCAGCAGUGGGGAAUAUUGCACAAUGGGGGAAACCCUGAUGCAGCGACGCCGCGUGAAGGAAGAAGUAUCUCGGUAUGUAAACUUCUAUCAGCAGGGAAGAAAAUGACGGUACCUGACUAAGAAGCCCCGGCUAACUACGUGCCAGCAGCCGCCGUAA